CACAUGCUGUAACCGCUCCGAUCGGGUACACAAGUGCGGUUCCUCCGGGAAUCUGCCACCUAGACUAGGCGAGUCUGAGACAUGAG
rfam:Paenibacillus sp. FSL R7-0331, complete genome.